AGGAGAGCAUCCACUUGACAGCUCAGGGCAGUUUGGCAGUGAACAUCUACUCCUUCCGCGCCGCUUCCCAGGCAGCUGACAGUUACUUGCAAUUCCUGGCUGCUUGCUCCCCAGCCUAGCUGCUAACCACUUGUCUGCCCGGGUACGCUCCUCCUCCCCGCCCAGCCACCAGCUCUCCCUGCCUGCUCACUUGCUCGUCCGCCGUCGGGAGCGACUUUGCUGCCCGGGUUGGGCCCCCGUGGAUCCAGCCUGCCCAGCUCCCCCACCCUGGCGAAAGCUCAGAGGACAGGGAGAUGGGCGCUUCCCCUGGCUUCAUCACUUCCCCGAUAUAUUUCUUACUCUAGGUAUUUAGGACAAGGGCAGUGUAUAGACCAUGCUGCGCGGUGCUGUUUAGCCCCGAUGAGUGUCCUGUGAUUAAAUCUGAUGAUAACAGCACCGGGUGCUCCCCCUGCCCGGCCGCCCAGCGCCUCGGCUCCCUCUCAGCACGAAUUUCCCACUGCUGGGUGGUGGGAGGAAAGGUGACAGCUUGCUCGCAGACACAACGCAGAAGGCUGGAUGGGAAGAGGGAGCGUGCAAAACAUCUGCUCCGAGCCAGUACUGAAGAUGCUUGUAUAAUUUAUUAGUAUUUUUAGAAAACAAGAGUAAUGAAGGAAAUAAAUAGUAGUCAAGCA